rnacentral:rRNA from 1 species
AAUAGUAGACGUAGGGCGAAAGCCUGAUCCAGCCUUGCCGCGUUUGUGAAGAGAGGCAUCGCACUGUCAAUCACUUUCUGUAGGGCGGCAAGGUAUUAGGUUAAUACCCAGCACUUUUGACGUUACCAACAGAAGAAGCUCCUGCAAUCUUCGUGCCAGCAGCCGCGGUAAUACGAAUGGUGCAAGCGUUAAUCGGAAUUACUGGGAGUAAAGCGCGCGUAGGUGGUUCGUUAAGUUGGAAGUGAAAGCCCCGGGCUUAACCUGGGAAUUGCUUUCAAAACUGGCAAGCUAGAGUAUGGCAGAGGGUGGUGGAAUUUCCUGUGUAGCGGUGAAAUGCGUAGAUAUAGGAAGGAACAUCAGUGGCGAAGGCGACCACCUGGGCUAAUACUGACACUGAGGUGCGAAAGCGUGGGGAGCAAACAGG